CUAAGUGUAUCAGAGAGUUGUUGAUGGGUUUUCAUUGGCUUGACAUGUCUACUCUGCAAGUUUGGUGCACGUAUAUUUAUCGUGUAUGAAUUGAUAAUUCCACAUAAGAAGUAUAUGGAAUUAUGGACCCUGCUAUGUGUAUAUAUGUUGAUAUUGUGACGAAAACUCAAGCAGGUGUUAAAAAAUACAUACAAGAUAAGUUAGAGAGGAAAAGUAGAGUGUGUCACUUACUACCACUUAUUCUUGGAUAAAAUUUUAUGAAAUUGUGUUUUGUAUUUUUUAAUUUUGUUAACAUAGAUAUUUUAUGUGACUUUUGUGUUUCCACACACACGUACAAACGGCAUUGGCAAUUAAUAGUCAUGUGUUCGAGAGACAAUAUUGUGGUCGUCUUUUAUUGACUUCAUUGGGAAAUUGAUGAAACCAUGAAGAAAAAUGUUACAAAUGCUUUUGGGGUUCAUCAAAUGACAAAUCGCAAUAGAAAAAACAACAAUCGUUUGGCCAUUUCAAUAUGAAGGAUUACAAAGAUUUUUCUGACACCAACGGAGCAAUUAUCUUUGGAUUAUGUGCCUUAAUCUUUUGGAUGACAUGUACUUCAAGUUGUGACAAAUGGAAACAACUGAGAUCUAUAAUAUCACUGGUAAAUGCUACACAUUUGUAGCAAGCAAAUAUUUGAGAGCUGGGCAAAAGGUGCAAUUUUGGUCAUUUAGAAGAAACAGACAACUCUUCUUUGCAUUUGUCAAGAUAUUGUAAAGAUAUAUCAAUUUAUAGUGCAAGUGCUUUUUUUUUC